GGGGAUGUAGCUCAGUGGUAGAGUGCUUGCCUAGUGUACACGAGGCCCUGGGUUCAAUCCUCAGGACCACCA
rnacentral:tRNA from 1 species